UCUACGCCUUCUCUUCCACAGAGUCGAGGUGAUAAAGUGGAGCGCAUUACAGACGCACGAUCGUGUUCUUCUUUUUAAAUUGUUUCAAGGCAAAACUUGGACUAGGAAAAAAAGACAAGACGCUGGGGAAAAUUCCAGCCUGUUCUACUCACGGGUCGUGAUGAAAUGCGCCCCCUCCCCACCCCGUCCCACGGAAGAAGCAGCGGUUGAUUAAAGUAUAACAUUUUCUGCGGACUAGCCCGGGAUUUUGAGUCUCCGAGGCUCCCGCAGGCAUGGACCCUUUCGUCUCACCCAGCACCGCGAGCGCUCUCUCCCUUUGAGUUGGUCCACUUAAACACUAUCAACAGAGAAUCACUAUCACCUCGUCACUCAGUGACAGGAUAGAGGAUCUUGGGGCCCAGGACUGGGAGCCUUCGGCUUCCCACCUCCCGGUUUGCUUAGAUCCCGCCACCAACGUUUCUUCCGUAGAUAAGAUGCACCUAGCCUCUCCUACUUCCCUCCCCACAAACCCUCCCACAGAGUCCUCUCCCAGCACAGUCUGCUUGGGCCGGGGCACUCAGGGUCCUCAGAGCAGCGGGGAGCUCGGGAGCCUGCUUGGAGGUCCAGGAGCUUUGCAAACGCAAUGAGAAGGGGAAGUCGGCUUCAGACAGUGCGGACUUGUCCCAUUACGCACAGCAUAUUGGGAACAGAGUCAAGCCGGACCCUGCCCCCGCUCCGGGUUGGCUCCUUGCGCUUUUCCUGCGUUCCGGACCAGAGGACCACGAAGCACAGCAACUCCAAGGACCAUGGCCCCAGGAACUAGGCACAAGUGAAAGGAGCCACCUGCUAUAUCCAAACCCAGUGCACGUGCAGCCCGGCCUCACCUUUCCUCAAGGACAGCUGGCACAGGUCAUCAUCCUGGCCCAUGAUGAUGGUGAGCAUCAAACUCCAAUUUCUGAAGAGGAAACUGAAGACCAGAAUGGGGAGGAAAAUGUCCCAAAGUCACCAGCUAGUCAGUGGCAGACACAACUUGAACCUGGUUUUGACUGGCAGUGUAUGGGCAUCGAGGCCACCAUUCACCAUAUACCUAACGUGCGCCUGGCACCAGGCUUCUCCUGAAUCAUUUCUAAUUCCCUCAACCAGAGGAUCAGAGAGGUGGCGUUUUUACC
rnacentral:lncRNA from 13 species